UGGGGAAUAUUGGACAAUGGGCGAAAGCCUGAUCCAGCAAUGCCGCGUGGAUGAAGAAGGUCUUCGGAUUGUAAAGUCCUUUCGGCGGGGACGAUGAUGACGGUACCCGCAGAAGAAGCCCCGGCUAACUUCGUGCCAGCAGCCGCGGUAAUACGAAGGGGGCUAGCGUUGCUCGGAAUUACUGGGCGUAAAGGGCGCGUAGGCGGACCACUCAGUCAGGCGUGAAAGCCCCGGGCUCAACCUGGGAACUGCGCUUGAGACUUGUGGUCUUGAGGGCGAGAGAGGGUGGUGGAAUUCCCAGUGUAGAGGUGAAAUUCGUAGAUAUUGGGAAGAACACCGGUGGCGAAGGCGGCCACCUGGCUCGCAUCUGACGCUGAGGCGCGAAAGCGUGGGGAGCAAACAGG
rnacentral:rRNA from 1 species